AUUCCAGCUCCAAUAGCGUAUAUUAAAGUUGUUGCAGUUAAAAAGCUCGUAGUUGGACUUGUGGAGGUGCCCAUUGUCCAAAAUGUUUUGGUACGGUUGGGCGCUUCCAUCCUUGGUUGGAACCUGUGGGGCAUUAGGUUGUUUUGCAGGGGAUGGCCAUCGUUUACUGUGAAAAAAUUAGAGUGUUCAAAGCAGGCUUAUGCCGUUGAAUAGAUUAGCAUGGAAUAAUGAGAUAGGACUUUGGUACUAUUUUGUUGGUUUGUGCACCGAAGUAAUGAUUAAUAGGGACAGUUGGGGGUAUUCGUAUUCCAUUGUCAGAGGUGAAAUUCUUGGAUUUCUGGAAGACGAACUACUGCGAAAGCAUUUACCAAGGAUGUU
rnacentral:rRNA from 1 species